CCUACGGGAGGCUGCAGUCGAGAAUCAUUCGCAAUGGGCGCAAGCCUGACGAUGCGACGCCGCGUGGUCGAAGAAGGCCUUCGGGUUGUAAAGACCUUUCGAGUGGGAACGCGUACCACUGGAAGAAGCACCGGCUAACUACGUGCCAGCAGCUGCGGUAAUACGUGGGGUGCAAGCAUUAAUCGGAAUUACUGGGCGUAAAGGACGCGUAGGCGGCCUUUUAAGUCUGAUGUGAAAUUACGGGGCUUACCCUCGUAGCUGCAUCGGAAACUGAAAGGCUAGAGGAUGGAAGGGGAAAGCGGAAUUCCAUGUGUAGCGGUGAAAUGCGUAGAUAUAUGGAAGAACACCAGUGGCGAAAGCGGCUUUCUAGACUACCUGACGCUGAGGCGUGAGAGCAAGGGGAGCAAACAGGAUUAGAUACCCUGGUAGUC
rnacentral:rRNA from 1 species